rnacentral:rRNA from 1 species
AGUGAACGCUGGCGGUAGGCCUAACACAUGCAAGUCGAACGGCAGCACAGUAAGAGCUUGCUCUUACGGGUGGCGAGUGGCGGACGGGUGAGGAAUACAUCGGAAUCUACUUUUUCGUGGGGGAUAACGUAGGGAAACUUACGCUAAUACCGCAUACGACCUACGGGUGAAAGCAGGAGAUCUUCGGACUUUGCGCGAUUGAAUGAGCCGAUGUCGGAUUAGCUAGUUGGCGGGGUAAAGACCCACCAAGGCGACGAUCCGUAGCUGGUCUGAGAGGAUGAUCGGCCACACUGGAACGGAGACACGGUCCAGACUCCUACGGGAGGCAGCAGUGGGGAAUAUUGGACAAAGGGCGCAAGCCUGAUCCAACCAUACCGCGUGGGUUGAGAAGGCCUUCGGGUUGUAAAGCCCUUUUGUUGGGAAAGAAAAGCAGCAGGUUAAUACCCCGCUGUUCUGACGGUACCCAAAGAAUAAGCACCGGCUAACUUCGUG